UGAUUAACCGGUCUGAGUUUCAUCUUUUUUUUAAAUAUAAUCGACAGCUCCUGCCUCGUUCGUUUAAAAAAACAUCAAUCAUCGAGAAUCUGACAUGUCUGAUACUAAAUAAUGCACUGCGAAAAGGAAGGGAAGAGAGAAGCACACAAGAUUUAGCAUGCAUGUACCUCUUGAAGUCCUUCACACACAAACACAGGAUACAAAAGCAUGGAUAACCAGGACACAACACGAUGACUGCAACAAGAACAAGCCAGAGUUUGGUCAUACCAUUAAACAACCAUCCAC
rnacentral:lncRNA from 1 species